rnacentral:rRNA from 1 species
UACGUAGGGGGCGAGCGUUGUCCGAAGUUACUGGGCGUAAAGCGCGCGUAGGCGGGUUGGCAAGUCUGCUGUGAAAGCCCGGAGCUUAACUCCGGAGGGUCGGUGGAUACUGCCAAUCUUGAAGGGACUAGGGGGAGAUGGAAUUACCGGUGUAGCGGUGAAAUGCGCAGAUAUCAGGAGGAACACCGGUGGCGAAGGCGGGUCUCUGGGCCGUAACUGACGCUGAGGAGCGAAAGCAUGGGGAGCGAACAGG